rnacentral:rRNA from 1 species
UCUAGAGCUAAUACAUGUACGUUUUGGCGCAAGCCAAUUGCAUUUAUUAGAACAAUCCAACCGCGGAGGCAACUCCGUGUGGUGAAUCUAGAUAACUUUGCAGAUCGUAUGGCCUCGAGCUGACGACGUUUCGAUUGAAUUUCUGCCCUAUCAACUUUGUUGGCAGUGUAGUGGACUGCCAAGGUUUUUACGGGUAACGGGGGAUCAGGGUUCGAUUCCGGAGAGGGAGCCUGAGAAACGGCUACCACAUCCAAGGAAGGCAGCAGGCGCGCAAAUUACCCAAUCCAAACAAUGGGAGGUGGUGACGAAAAGUACAGGAUGGCGAUUUUAUCGCCAGUCUUGAAUGAAAACAAUUUAAGCAAUUGAAUUGAGUAACGACUGGAGGGCAAGUCUGGUGCCAGCAGCCGCGGUAAUUCCAGCUCCAGUAGCGUACAGCAACGUUGCUGCGCUUAAAACGCUCGUAGUUGGAUCACUCACUGUGCUUCGGUGUACAUUGUUCGUGCCCGUCUCUCGUCAAACCGGUUACGAUCGUGUCUCUGUCGGGUGGGUGCGGCUUUGUAAUUUAGCCGUUGUGCAGUAAUUGCACGUGAGGAUGGCCGUUGACCUUUAGUGCGUUGACGGUUGUGUCUCACGGGGUGUGCCUUGAGUAAAUCAGAGUGCUUAAAGCAGGCUUUACGCUUGAAUGUUAUUAGCAUGGAACGAACAAUCGUGUAUGGUGUGUGCUGGGAACGGUGGGUGGCGUUUCGUCGCUCACUACAGCAUACGACACCGACCGCCAAUUACGGAUGUUGGUUCCGUAUUGGGGUACUGAUUAAGAGGAGCGGUUGGGGGCAUUGGUAUU